GAAGUCGGGGAAGAAGAAAUAAAAAAAUAAAAUCGAGGAAAUAAAAGAAACAAACACAGGAUGUAACAUCGACUCUGAACCAAAAGCCACUUGUUUUCCUUUUUAAUGAUCCAUACCUUAACCCAAGCCAAGCUACAACCUGAAAGACCUCAAAAGUGUGUGUGUUGUGUGUAGGUGAUGAGAAAAGAGAGACUAUUCAAACUUGUGAGUGAUAUUGCAUACUUUAAAUUAUGAGUGUAAACAGCUUACCCCGAGAGAAUUGGUGAGAAUGUG
rnacentral:lncRNA from 1 species